GGGGGCCCGCACAAGCGGCGGAGCAUGCGGAUUAAUUCGAUGCAACGCGAAGAACCUUACCAAGGCUUGACAUGGACCGGACCGGGCUGGAAACGGUCCUUCCCCUUUGGGGCCGGUUCACAGGUGGUGCAUGGUUGUCGUCAGCUCGUGUCGUGAGAUGUUGGGUUAAGUCCCGCAACGAGCGCAACCCUCGUUCCAUGUUGCCAGCGCGUAAUGGCGGGGACUCAUGGGAGACUGCCGGGGUCAACUCGGAGGAAGGUGGGGACGACGUCAAAUCAUCAUGCCCCUUAUGUCUUGGGCUUCACGCAUGCUACAAUGGCCGGUACAAAGGGUUGCGAUACUGUGAGGUGGAGCUAAUCCCAAAAAGCCGGUCUCAGUUCGGAUUGGGGUCUGCAACUCGACCCCAUGAAGUCGGAGUCGCUAGUAAUCGCAGAUCAGCAACGCUGCGGUGAAUACGUUCCCGGGCCUUGUACACACCGCCCGUCAAGUCACGAAAGUUGGUAACACCCGAAGCCGGUGGCCUAACCCCUUGUGGGAGGGAGCUGUCGAAGGUGGGACUGGCGAUUGGGACUAAGUCGUAACAAGGUAACCGUAAGGGC
rnacentral:rRNA from 1 species